rnacentral:rRNA from 1 species
AAUGAACGCUGGCGGCAUGCCUAAUACAUGCAAGUCGAGCGGAUGAACGGAGCGCUCUCCUGGAUUCUGUUACGGGCGGGCGGGUGAUGCAUAGGUAUCUGCCUGGUCGUUAGGGCUAACGUCACUUAGCGGGCGCUAAUAUCGUACCCGUCCAGAGGUUGAACGUGGGGGAUCUUCGGUCCUAGCGCUAUUUGAUGUGCCUAGGUCGUGUUAGCUAGUUGGUGUGGUAAAGGCCUACCAAGGCGACGAUCCGUAGCUGCCCUGAGAGGGUGAUCAGUCACACUGGAACUGAGACACGGUCCAGACUCCUACGGGAGGCAGCAGUAGGGAAUAUUGCGCAAUGGGCGAAAGCCUGAUGCAGCCAUGCCGCGUGUGUGAUGAAGGUCUUCGGAUUGUAAAGCACUGUUAGUUGGGAAGAAGAUAAGUGAGUUUAUCCCUUGCUAUCAUGACGUUACCUACACAGUAAGCCCCGGCUAACUUCGUG